rnacentral:rRNA from 1 species
AUGGCCGCAUCAGCUCCUCGCCCAGCCCACCAAACCAGCCCCGGCGCCACCGUCCCCCCGACCAGCGAAACCGCCUCCCUCCCUUUCGCCGCCUCGCUGCCCACGCCGCUGCUCCGCUCGGUCCUCCCUCCGAGUCCUCUUCCCUCGCCGCCUCCGGCAGCAGGCGUGAUGGUAGAGGAGAAGAGGGAGAGGGCGGAGGAGGCGUCCGAGAGCCCGCAGAAGUCCCCGCGCCUGGACCCGCUGGCUGCGGCUGGUCCUGGAUGCAGCGGCGUGUCUGCGUCUCCGACGGGGUGGAGCGAGUGGCCAUCAUCCGAGGAAGCGGAGGCGGCAACCAGCAGCGACAGUACCGUCAACAGUAUGGACGACAGCGGGCGGUGCGACCACAUACUUUUCGAUCUGGAUACGGUGGUACGUGAUCUCAAGGUCGCAAACAAGGUCCUCAAGGAGCCUCGGAAGUGCCGGCGUCGUAGUUGCAAGACGACCUGGAAGGGAGCCAGUGAGGACGACCAAGGGAUGAUGAAGUGCAUAGACUGCGCCUAUUUUUUCUGCUUUGGGUGGCCGGUGGACAUAGAAAAUCCGCAGGGACACGCCCGCUGGCAUGCCGGCGAGCACCAGCAUUGGGUUGCUCAGUGGUGCGAUGAACCGAAUUUGGGAUACUGCUUCUUGUGUGCACGCCCUAUGAGGCUCAGUGACUGGAGCGAAGAUGACUAUGCAGUGGCGGCCAGAAACGAAAAGGAUCAGCAAAUGCCGGGGGAUAGCGUUGCAAAGGAUGGCUGGGGAAUAAUGGCCAGCGUUGCAAAGGAAGGGUGCGAGACGGGGUCUGCUGAGAACCCGCAGAAACCCCCGCCCAUGGACCUUCUGUUGCUUGCGUCUGCGGCUGAGAACACUCAGAAAUACCCGCACCUGGACCUGCCUGUGUCUAAGGCGCCGGUGUUGUUGAGCGAGUCGCCAUCGACGGGGGAAGCGGAGGAGACCAGCGACUGCACAUACGGCAUCGGGUCAUGCGAGCACUUGUUCAAGGACAGGGAGGAGCUGGAUGAUAUGGUGCGUGAUAUCAAGACCGCCGAGAAACCCCCAGAGUGCGAGCAUUUCCCAUGCAUGACCACCUGCACCUGGAGGGGAGCUGCUGCUGGGUUGAUGGUGUGCACGGAGUGCACCUCUACUUUCUGCACCGGGGAGAAUGGGGACAUGGAAAAUCCGCAGGGACACGCCCGCUGGCACGCCACCAGGGACUACCAUUGGGUUGCUCUGUGGUACAAUGAACCGUAUAAGGGCUACUGCUUCGAGUGUGGGCACGUUCUGAAGCUCGGCCAGGACAAGCUGAGCAAUGAUGAGUGGGCAACUGUGGCCAGAAAUAAAAGGGAUGAGCGGGCAAUGUCGGCCAGCAAUGGAUGGGAUGAGUGGGGAAAUGUGGCCGAGAGUUAUACAAAGGAUCUGUGGGCAAUAGUGACCGGGGAUGAUGCGUCUGGGUACGCUAAUGGAAAUGGCUGUGUUAUCAGAGGGUUGCCAAAUCUUGGAAACACAUGCUACAUGAAUGCACUGCUGCAGUGCCUCCUUGCGCUCGGUGAGCUGAGGACAACAAUUUUAGGACUGGGUGCUCGGCUGGGGAGAAUUGGUCUGCACCUGAAGCAAUUGUUUGUGGAGACAAGCAGCACAAAUGAUGCCAGACGCCCGCUGGAUCCAGAGAUGCUAUUGAAAGAUAUGCGGGUGUUUAAUCCGCAGUUCAAGGGCUCUCUUAUGCAGGAUAGCCAAGAGUUUCUUACAUCUUUGCGCAGUGCUUUGGAAGAGGAGACAAAGGAACUAAACAAAUUGCAUGGGGGUGCAGAGUUUCAUACAAUUGGCAAUUCCAUUUUCGGGGGCUGGUUGCGUCAGACCUUAUACUGCAUAAGUUGCCCAACUAAAUCAGUUUUGGAUCUGCAAUUCGAUGAGCUCCAACUGGCGCUGCCAUCAAAGGAUUGUCCAGCCAGAAGUGUUACGUUACCACCAAUGACCAGAAGCCGUGGAUCUCCGACGAAGACUCGCAAGGAACUAUUCGAACAAACCGACAAGACUGAUGGAGAAAAGAUUCAUACAAUUUCUGAAGGCGGCGAUUCUCAGUUUCCUGGUUCAGAAUUUGGAGAUAAGGCCAUGGAGAAAACACCCAAGCCUUUGAAAGUUGAUUCUACUGAAGUGGAGGAUGUUGCCCACGGUCGUUUGCAGACUCAGAAAAACAAUGUCCCACGAGAGAUCAUUGAAGUGCCAAUAAAAGUUCUUGAUUUCAUUCCUAACUUGUUUGAUGACACUGAACGGAUGGAUGAAUCAAUAGUAGAUCCUCACAGUCCAGAAGGUACUGGUCCACCUCCACUUGUUGAUAUAGAAGCCAAGGAGAACACUUACUCAGUAGAACUUACUACAGAAGACAAGGGGAGAGCUCAGAGCAGUGAUAUUACUGAUGAUGAGGCAGUACAUAUGAACUCUGCUGCAUCGCUCGAGGACUGCUUGACACUUCUUUGCUAUUGUCCGAUGGGAUGGAAAUGUGAUAACUGUUCCAAGGUUGUUGAGCUGCCGAGAACAAAUGGAAGUGAAAAUGGUGAACCGAUGAUAGCAAGUACCAAUGUAAAUCGAGCAGUUGAAGGAGACCAGACUGAAUUAUCAGACGGGAAAACAUGCCCAAGUGAACGAUCUAAUGAUUUGAAUAGCUUGUCGGUACAUUGUACUUCUCCAAAUAGACAAACACAUGGUUCAGAUGCACAUCAUCAAGUUAUUCUUUCUGAAGACAGAAUUAGUGAAGAAAUCACUUCAGGGAUGAGCUAUGAUGAAAAGAACUCGGCCUCUUGCAGCACUACCAAUAAAAAAUCUAAAAGUCAUGAAGUUGUUCAGGAAGCUACACCUAGUUCCUUUCCAACUGAUAAACAGACUGACCUGCUGAGUGCCCAGGAUAGUCAGGAUACCAGCGACCAAAAUCAAGGCAGUGGGAAGCAGGUAAAGCUGGAUGAUCAUAGUGCGCAACAAGUGGAAGAAAACCGAAUUGAGCAGAAACAUGAGACUGGUGGUUUUCAAAUACAAUUGAUUGCUAAGCUGCCACCUGUGUUAACCAUUCAACUGAAGAGAUUCACCAAUGCUCUUUCUAAAGAGAGAGGACAUGUGAGCUUUAAGGAGAUUCUUGAUGCAGGACCGUUCAUGGACCCCAGUUCCCAGGACAAAGGUAACUCCAGCUAUCGUCUAGUUGGUGUCAUUGAGCACCGUGGCCACGCCUUGAGUAUAGGGCACUAUGUUGCUUAUGUGAGGGCAGGUCGCAAGCAGCAGAGCAGUGGUUCUUCCUCAUGGGUUUGCGCAAGCGAUCGCGGCAUCAAGGAAGUCCCCCUGGAAGAAGUUCUCGGGUGCGAGGCGUACAUGCUUUUCUAUGAGAGGAUGGAUGACCGAGGCAUAUGUGGGAGCCUACCCACCAACUAA